GAUGAACGCUGGCGGCGUGCCUAAUACAUGCAAGUCGAGCGAACAGAUGAGGAGCUUGCUCCUCUGACGUUAGCGGCGGACGGGUGAGUAACACGUGGAUAACCUACCUAUAAGACUGGGAUAACUCCGGGAAACCGGAGCUAAUACCGGAUAAUAUAUUGAACCGCAUGGUUCAAUAGUGAAAGACGGUUUUGCUGUCACUUAUAGAUGGAUCCGCGCCGCAUUAGCUAGUUGGUAAGGUAACGGCUUACCAAGGCAACGAUGCGUAGCCGACCUGAGAGGGCGAUCGGCCACACUGGAACUGAGACACGGUCCAGACUCCUACGGGAGGCAGCAGUAGGGAAUCUUCCGCAAAGGGCGAAAGCCUGACGGAGCAACGCCGCGUGAGUGAUGAAGGUCUUCGGAUCGUAAAACUCUGUUAUUAGGGAAGAACAAAUGUGUAAGUAACUAUGCACGUCUUGACGGUACCUAAUCAGAAAGCCACGGCUAACUACGUG
rnacentral:rRNA from 1 species